UUGAACGGGUGGGUAUCACCGUGACAAAGCUAUGGCGAGCACUUGCAUCGUUGGUUUAUUAACCCCGUCAUCCUCUAAAUCUUUGGUUUCCAGCAGAGCCGGAGCUAGUGGUGGUGCGGUGAAACGGUUCGUUUCGUGUUCGUGCUCUUUGUUCCCUUCCUCCAACGAGUUCGGCUACCAGGGGAUCUCGUGCUCUUCGGCGUUGGGGCCUAUUGCCAGAGCUAGGUUUUCGGGAGUUUUGGGCGUUGUGGGCGAAGAGGACACAGUGGUUGCGGAGGGGAGUAAUGCUAAUGUGGACUACAAGAACGACGGCGUCUUGGGGCAGGAAUGUAAGACGCGGACCCGACCAUGUGAGCUCUACGUGUGUAAUCUCCCCACGAGUUGCGGCAUUGCAGAGCUGCUUGAAAUGCUUAAGCCUUUUGGAACUGUACUAUCUGUCGAGAUUUCCCGGAAUGCUGAGACAGGUGUAAGUCGGGGAUGCGGUUUCGUGACAAUGAGUUCAGUAAAUGCAGCAAAACUUGCAAUUGCUGCGCUGGAUGGAUCUGAUGUUGGCGGCCGAGAAAUGCGGGUUACAUUUUCGGUUGAUAUGAAUCCUAGGAGGAGGAAUUCUGAGGCAUUGAAUUCAGUGCCCAAUAAAGAGAUAGUAUAUGAAAGUUCUCACAAGCUAUAUGUGGGCAAUCUUCCCCGCGAUGUUAAACCUGAAAAUUUGAGGAAUCAUUUUAGUCAAUUUGGGACUUUGGUUAGUGCAAGAGUGUUGCAUGAUCGAAAAGCAGGAAAAAACCGUUGUUAUGGGUUUCUCUCCUUUUCUUCAGCUGCAGAACGUGAUGCAGCUAUAUCUUUAAGUGGAACAGAGUUCCUUGGUAGAACAAUAGUAGUUAGACAAGGCGUGGAAAGGACCAAGCCCUAACUGAAGUUUUGGUUGCUGCAUACAUGCUAUAUUGAGGUUUCUUCUGUUCAUUAGAAAUUGGAUAGUUUGGAGCACUCUUUGUCAGUGAGAUAUUUAGGCAGGACAGUUUCUUCUUAUGUGCUACUUAUGGCAAUUUCAAUGUUUGAAGUGGACUUCUGCUGGCACUAGUAUGUAGAUAGAGUCACAGAAAUGCAGGGUUAUCUCGCUCUUGAAGUUGAUUUUAAUUGCUGAUGGACCAUGGAUGCAUCACAUAGCAGAACAGUUAGUGCCACCUGAUAUUGAUUUCAAAAUUCUUGAUUUUUGUUUGUGAGGUUAAAUGAAUCUCAGCUGCUCAACUUCCUACAAAUGAUCAACCUAGUAGUCUAAAUUCUUCAUUGUUCAGUUUGGCAUUCUUAAAAUUAGACUAAAGCUAGGAUAAAACUCGAUCUUAAAGUCAGACUGUAGUCUUUCCUUUCUACUUAUACUAUAGUUCUAGAAAUUUAGCUGAAUAAACAAAGUGCUGAGAAUCUUUUUGUAUUAGAUGGGUUGGCUGUAGAUGAUGACAUGAUGUUGGCAUCAACUGUGAAUGGUUUUCUUUAAUUUUUGGUGAUU